rnacentral:rRNA from 1 species
UAUUAAAGUUGCUGCAGUUAAAAAGCUCGUAGUUGGAUCUCGGUGUACCUGGUCUAGCCGGUAUAGCUCACGCUAAAACUGGUCUGACCCCCCAACGUGAGGUAUUCGUCUCCGGGUGCACUUCAGUGUGUGCUCGUGAGGAGCCUCGUAGUUACUGUGAAAGAAUUAGAGUGUUCAAAGCAGGCUCAUAUGUUCGGAUAGUCGUGCAUGGAAUAACUGAAUACGUGACUGGCGCUUUUCAGUUGGGCUCGGCGACUGGUCAAAUGAGUAAGAGGGACUGCC